AUGCGAUAAGUAAUGUGAAUUGCAGAAUUCAGUGAAUCAUCGAAUCUUUGAACGCACAUUGCGCCCGCCAGUAUUCUGGCGGGCAUGCCUGUUCGAGCGUCAUUUCAACCAUCAAGCCCCAGGCUUGUGUUGGGGACCUGCGGCUGCCGCAGGCCCUGAAAACCAGUGGCGGGCUCGCUGUCACACCGGGCGUAGUAGAUUUUAUCUCGCUCAGGGCGUGCUGCGGGUUCCGGCCGUUAAAAAGCCUUUUUUACCCAAGGUUGACCUCGGAUCAGGUAGGAAGACCCGCUGAACUUAA
rnacentral:misc_RNA from 1 species